CAAAAUUAUUUUGAAAGAACGGGAGAGGCCAACUAGGCGCGCACCACUGAACUGAAUCUCCGCCUCUCCGGGAAGAAAUGGAAACAUCAGUCCCUUCAUCGAUGGCCGGUUUAGACGACUGGGAUCGUCCUUUCACUGAUCUAGAGCUCCUAGAAAUCGAAGCAGCUUUUCAAUCUGCCACCAACAAGCGCAAAGAUUCCGAUAAGUCCUCCGCUCCCGCUGCCGAAGAUGAGGUUAACGGCGAUGUAAAUAAAUUUCGCCGGAACCAUCGCCGGAGACUGCCUGCAUCACUCUUCUCCACUUCUUUUUCCCUGUCCCCAUGCCCUAGAAGUCGAUUUAAGCAUCAAUUGAAUAGGUUCCCAGCACUAGCAUUCAGGGGGCGUAUUGUAUAUAGCAGAACUGCAGUUGAGGCCGAGAGAUCUGCAGCAGAGCUUUUAAAUUUUAUUGAAACGAGGAAGAGAGCAGAAGGUGUAGUUGCUCUGGGAUUUGACAUUGAAUGGAAACCCACUUUCAAAAGAGGUGUUGCCCCUGGGAAAGCGGCUGUUAUGCAGAUAUGUGGGGAGAUGAACCGUUGUUAUGUCUUCCACAUAUUCCAUUCUGGAAUCCCUCAAAAUCUGCAGACACUUCUAGGGAAUUCUGCUACUGUGAAGGUGGGAGUAAGCAUCGCGGGUGAUGCUCAUAAGGUUUUUCUAGAUCAUAAUGUACCUGUUAGAAAUGUGGAUGAUCUAUCUGCGCUAGCCAAUCUAAAGAUUGGUGGAGUUCCCAAAAAUUGGAGUCUAGCAUCAUUGACAGAAACACUCCUUUGCAAACAGUGUGUGAUUCAAUUGAAUGUUUUGGACUUCUGUAGCUCCCUAAGCCAAACCAUAUAAGAUUGGGAAAUUGGGAGACUCCAGUUUUAUCAAAAGAACACCUAAAUUAUGCUGCCACAGAUGCUUUUGUUUCAUGGCACCUAUAUCAGGCGUUGAAGAGCCUUCCUGAGGCUGUUGAUAAUAAGAGCAACGAACCAGAGCAUGUGAGCAGUGAGUGAGAUGUGAUUGUCAACUAUUGUUUGAAUAGUAGUGGCGGCUGUAACAUCAGUUACAUCUGGACUAUUAAAUUUCGCGCUUAUCUGGUCCAGUCCAAGUGUCCAACCAUCUUGCUUGAUGCUGUUAUAUAUCCAUUUGCUCUAGCCAAACCUUUUCUUAUCCAGAGGCACAAGUCACUGCUAAUGAGGUACUUUUAGCUAGUGCAGUGCAUCCUGAACCUUAUUGGAGGAGUGUUAUCAGCUUCUCAGUCUGGAUCAUAUUACUGAAUUAGUUCAUAGCUAUUCGUUUGGUUAAAGUUAUUCUUCUGUGAUAAGAAAUGGUGUUCUUUGGUUUUUACCCAUCUUUCUCUCUUGAAAUCAAUGUUGAGAAAUUGAGUCUUUUCUUC